GUUUUCAAGUUCGAUCUUCUCUUCUUCUUCGAUUAGGGUUUUCGAGUUGGGUUUCGAUCUCUAUUUUUGCUUGGAUUUUCGAUUUGGGGCAUUGGGGUUUUGGUUUGGGCUUAAAAUCCGAAAGCCAACAACAUGUUUUUGUGUCAAUUCGUCUCGUUCUUCGAACUCGGUGACUCGCUCUCGAACUCGCGAGUUUGGUACGAGUCGACGAGUUUACUCCGAGUUCAUUACGAGUUUGAAAAAAAACGAGUUUAUAUGCGAGUUAACCCGUGAACACUGUCAUGACUCGCAGACUCGUACGGGUGUACGAGUCAACCCGCGAGUUUGAUAACCAUGGUUGCAGCCAUUAAUUUAAAAACCAAAAUAUCAGAGGAGAGGGUGGACUAAAUGGAUUGAACUCAGUUGCUAAAACAUAUUUAAACAAAAUCUCUUUUCUGGUGCAGUUCACUCCUUUUAGUCCUACUAUGUGAAAGAAAAGAGUGGCAUGCUAAAUGAAAGUGCUCCUUGUAAAUUAUAAGAACUACACACUGAAGUUUUGAGAGUAGCAGAGUGUGACUCUUGCAGCAUAAAAUGAAAGCAGAGACAUGCAAGGAUUACAUAAUAAUCGUAAACUUUGUGGCCAAAUUAUGCGUGCAAUGGGUUAGGUGGCAUGAUGUUUGUUGCUAUAUUUAAGCAUGAAGGGAAUAUAGUUGUAAAGAACACUCUUAAUUGCAAAUAUGUACUAUCUCUAAUAGAAAUUUAAUAGUUGUGAUCAAUCAUUUUUCUUUUUUUCCUUGAUUAUUGUUUUCUGAUCAUAGGUUGUACUAUAUGAAAUCCAUUAGUUAUGUCUGUUACUAAAGGCUUACUUGGAUAAAGACUAUCAAAAGUCUUCUCUCUCAGGAGUAGAGCUUCUCUAGAUUUUUUUCAUCUGCUUUAUUUUGUAUAUUUAAAUAUAUUUUACUUAAUUAUUUCUUCUUUUGGAUUGUAUUUAGUGAAUAUUCUUCCUCUGUGUGCUCUCAUUUCCUUUUUAUUAGCAGAAAUGAAGAGAAAACACACUGAUCUCAUGUACUGGGUGGGAGUCAUAACAUUUCCUUUGGUUGUCAAAUAGGAAACAAAAUGGAAAAGAGAAGAAUAUUUUGUUUAUAAAGUCAAUUUUUAUUUUUCAUCAAAUAAAGAGGAAUCAUUAUUUGUGUUGUUUUUCCUGUUUCUUUUUUUCUUUUCCAAAUAGACCAAUAGAUUUUUAUGACUAACUUCUGAGUUGCUCUCCAUAAGAUAUGUUUUAGCCUUUUGUGUUCAUCUCUAAAGGUGUGAUUCUCGAGAUUAUCAGACAAUUAUAUGUAGUGACUGUUUUCAAAUUUCAAAUAGAAUGUCAAUACAAAAAAUAAUUCCAUAGAAACUUCUAAUUUUAAUCGAACUUAGGAAGCAACAUUAUUUAGUUGCGCAUUAUUAAAGCACCAUUUCUUCAAUUGGCUUACCAGUACUGCUUUUUUUUUUCUUGUGAACAAAACAAGAACUGUUAGAAUAUCAGUAUCAAACUUAAAUGAGUUAAGGACCAAAGGCCCAAAGAAGAUAAUGGACUCAAUGUACAUCAUGGAGAUCACUUUCAAAUUCACGUGAUUUCUGUAGUCUCUUUCAAACUUGAAAUGAAAUUUCUUAAACGAGGCAUGGAAUAAAUUAGUCAUUCAGAGUCACAGAAUUCCCUCCUAGAUUAAUAGGUGCAGUGGCAGAAACAUUUUAGGAGUAGUAGCUUUGAAAUUAAUUAAUUACGAAAAUUCACCAAAAGGAGACACACUAACAAGAAAAUUGUGAUACUACUUUAUUGUAUAUGUCAAAAUGUAUGAGUUGGUGUGUAGAGUGUGUUCCCUUCAUGAACGUACCACCCAAAUAUGAGUUGGUUAUAAUAAGCACAUGGAUUUUAAUUUUUUUUUAUAAUUGAAUAAAUCAGUUUGAACUAUUUUCACGUAAGAUAUAAGCUAUUUUUAUAUCUUAGAAAGAUUCCCUUUACUUUCCUUUCACCGCACACCAUAAACCUUUUUCUUUUUAAUUUGCUUCUUGCCAGGCCAGUGUGAUAAAAUCUUUAGAACUGAUAAUUGAAAUGCAUUGCCCUAAACAAAAAGUGUGGCCAUUGCACUAGGUUUCUUUUUUGGUGUUAAAGUAGUGGCAGGUUUUCCUAUCUAAGUCUUUUCUUCCGAUCAAUGACUCAUAAUUGUUGAAAUAACGUUGAUGAUGAGAGGAAAGUGGAGUUGAUGAUGAAUGUUAAUAAUUGAUAAUGCAUGCAUAAAUGCAAGAGUAGAAGUAGUACUAUGAUGUGAGGGCAUGAAAGAGUGAAGAACAUAAAUUAGAAAGCGCUGAAGGAGAGAGACAGAAGAAACAAAUCUAUAAGCGAAACGAUGUGUUGGCUCUCUCAACAGCUGAACAUUAAAUUGGACAGAGUUCUGAGUCUCCUUUCUUGUUCCCACCAUUAAAUUGGACAGCCUCUUUUUGAAUUUCAACCAUCUUUUAAUUAAAACCUUCAUACCAAUCUUCACAUACGUUGCUAUAAGAAAAGAGAGACAAUACAAACAAUUGUAAGUAUUAGUGAAAGGAUAAGUUUGUAUAUAAUUACUCUAAUUAUUUUAUCUGUCAAAUUUAGUUAUUUGCUUUUGCUUUUGUACUCUACCUACUUGUUUUUAUGUUAUUUUUCUUUUCUUUCCUAUGUGUCAGACAAACGUAUCUCUGUUUUCUCCCAAUUGCUUAAGCUUAAAAGUUUCUCUACAUGAUGUGUGUUGAAGUGUCACCUCUAUUGAAUUACUUUAUGUCGACUUAUUUAGUUUCUCAGAUUGGAAGAUUGGGGAUGGGGAAAUCGAGUUGUUAUAUUUUCUGAUAGACGUAAGUAGAAGAGACAGCACAAGAAGGGAAGAUCCUUUUGGUAAGAAGCAACAUUGACUAUUAGGUUUUCAUUCUUGGGAAGACUUUUGGAUAGGUAAUAUCGAUCUUCUGUGCAUCCUUCCAAGGUACUCAGUAAUAUUCGUACACCCUCGCAUCAUACCCUUUGAUCCUAAAAUAUAGUAGCCUUCAUCCUCUUAUGGGUUUUUGAUAAAGCAAUCGUUUUUGUCUCUGAAUUUGGAAAACAGCUAGUUCCCAUGGAAGGGUUGGUGAGUUCUGGGAUCAACACCAUUCGUGUUUUUGGUGUUACAAAGCACCAAUCUCGUUUUCUUCAUUCAUCAAUGCUGCAUCUGAGGAGUAAUAGAGUGUGUGGAACUGGAAUUGGGGUUGAGGAGAAGAAAAAGAGGAAGCAGUGUUUCGUUAUGGCUGCAUCUGUUGGGGGCUCCAAAGUGGGCCAUUUUGAGAACACACUCCCUUCCAAAGAGGUUCUUGAGCUUUGGAGAAAGGGUGAUGCUGUUUGCCCUUUUUCUCUAUGUCUGUGUUCUUUGUUUGGUUUUCCUUUUUGUGAUGAUCACCAAUUUUGGUGUGAGCAGAUGUGGAAGUUCCUAAUGAUCGUGCAGGUGGUGGUGAUGUUGUUGUCUAGUUUAUGUGUUUAGUUAUUGGCUUUUUUGGGCAUCUUUUGGGCAUUAUUGUUGUGACGAUAAUUUUUGUUUCUAUUUAUUUAAUUUUUAUUAUUAUUUCCUACAA